rnacentral:rRNA from 1 species
UACGUAGGGGGCAAGCGUUGUCCGGAUUUAUUGGGCGUAAAGAGCGUGUAGGCGGCCUGACAGGUCUGCUGUGAAAACUCGAGGCUCAACCUCGAGAUGUCGGCGGAAACCGUCUGGCUAGAGUCCGGAAGAGGAGAGUGGAAUUCCUGGUGUAGCGGUGAAAUGCGUAGAGAUCGGGAGGAACACCUGUGGCGAAGGCGGCCCCCUGGGCCGGCCCUGACACUGAGACGCGAAGGCGUGGGGAGCGAACGGG